CAGAAUGUAGCUAAAGCAGAAAAGCAUCUCCCUUACACCGAGAAGACACUCGUGCAAAUCGAGUCAUCCUGA
rnacentral:tRNA from 2 species